GGCUUCCAAUUGGCUGCAAGGGCUGUUCGUCAAAAGCCGCCCACGGCCCGGCCUCGCCCCUCUCCCUGCACCUUCCGAACUCUCAGCUGGUUUGCUAGUCCUGACCGCUCAAUGCCCGCAGCGUCCGGAUCUGGAGCCGUGGCUACCCGACGGCCAUUAGCGCUGUUGGGCCAACUGGAGGUGAGGCGCGGAGUGAACCCCGGCGGACUAGGAGGCGUGCGAUGCUGUUAUCAGGCACAUCUGCUUUGGGUCUGGAGCUGCCACUGUGUUUGGCCUCUUCAAAAAAAUAAUAAUUUGUGACAGAUCUGCAAAAAUAAAUAUAUUGACCCUAGAAGGAUAUCUGGUAUAUGACCAGACAAUGACAGAACUAAGAUACCAAAAGAGCUGUGCUCUUCCUCAUUGAGAACCUGACAUCUUCAGAACUACGACACCACAGCCACUGUCUGGAAGCUACCAGAAUCAAGAAGCUGCCACUUCCACAGCCAGCUCCAGAGUCACACCUUACCAACUGUAAUCUGAAUCAGCAAAAUGGAUGCACCACCCAUGCUUCUUGAUGUUCACAAAGCUAAUGACUGAACAAUGAGAACUCUGUUAUCUCUGAUACAGAAGAAAAAAUUUUCUCCACAGCUAUGCCUAUCAGAGAAACAGACUUCCAGAUCUUACACGAAAGUGUUUGUUUGUUGAAACCUACAUACUUCCAUAAAACUAGCUGCAACAGAGUCUGGAGAAUGUGAUUUUUGGCUUACCAGUCCUCUGCCCUACAGGAAGCAUACUUGAAGCUUGAAGGAGGAUGAAAUGGCUGUUAGGUGCAAGCCUGUUUAUGUUCCAUACUCACCUAAAAAAAACGAAUGUUUGGUUUAAGUAGACCACGCAUUUUGUGCUGCACAUUUAUAGAACACUGAAAUUAUACACAUAUGUAAUAUAUGUAUAUAUAAUUUAUAUAUAUAUAAAGCUCCAUGAUGACAGAAAAAUUGUAUGAUCAAAUCUCAGAUCCCAGGCAGGCCAUUUUAGCACAACUUCUUGCAAGGGAAAAAACAUUUUAAUGAUUGGCUAUUUUGCCUCCCAUCUAUCUAGUAUUAUUACCCACUAUUUUCUAGAUCGGUACUCUCAAACUUUAAUGUGCACACAAAUCACCUGGGAAUCUUAUGAUAAUGCAGAUUCUGAUUCAGUAAAUUGGAAUAGAGCCUGUGAUUCUGCAUUUCUAACAAGCUCCCAGGUGAUGCUGAUGCUGCUGAUGUGAAGACCACAUUUUGAAUAGCAUUUUAUAAGCCCUCUCCAACCAGGUUGCCCAAUGAAUGGAGUAUGCUGAGAUAAUGAUUCCCUUCAACACUUGGGGCAGUUAGGUUAGGCCAGGUGCAGGCAGAGCCUCCAGACCAGAUGGCUCCAGCUUACAUCAGUGUGCAAUAUUAAUAUUUUCUACCUGUGCUGUGAUGUGGGAAGCAUUUGAAUAAAUGUUUGAAUAAAUAUGUCCAUUAUUGAGUCUUGGUCAAGUAUUGGCCAGUAUAUAUGCUCUUUGUGGAAUCUUUUAUUAGUCACAGAUUUUUUUUUAAUAUUAAGUAUUCUUUCAACAAAUUAAGAGAAGUAAAAAUAGAAAUAAUCAACUUACAUAUCACCAAAUUAACUGUUGUAAUAAUUUUUUUUUAUUGAAGUAUAGUUGAUUUACAUCUUGUAAUAAAGAUGUACAGUGAGAAAAGAAAGUACUAAUACAGUAUGUUAUCUCAUUCUGAAAGCAAAUCUUAAGAUGGCUUCAGCUGUUCUGCCAAUGACACCAGAAUGACCAUAGGAAGGGAGAAGAAAGUCAAUCUGCUUGAUUGUUUCCAUAGUGCAAUGCUUUUGAAAAGCAAAGUGAAAAGAAGUGAAAAUUUACAAAAAUGGUAUUUAGAAAUGUUUCUGCAUAAAUACCAAUGUGUACCUGUACAAUUCAGACAUCUUAAUAGACAGAUAGAUAGAUACAUGUGUGUUUGUGUAUAAAUAUAUGUUUGGGAGGGUUGUGGGGUUUUUUUGGUUUUGGUUUUGUUUUGUUUUUUUUUUUUGGUUUUGUCCUGGAAACAGUAAGACAAACUCAAGUCAUUUUAAACUAGGUAAGGCAACAGUUCUACCUAAUCAAAUUGAGUUCUUUUCACAAGUGGUAACAUUUCGACCACUCCUUAAACCCCUUUUAUACCCCCAUUUCUCAAUACUAUCAACCAGCUGGAGGUGGAAUACCAAGGGGGUAAUUGUCAGGUGAGCAAAGAAGAGAAUUUUGUAACCACAGCCUUACAUGGAGAGCAGUCUUGUAUGUACUAUGGUGUGGGGUUCUGAAUGGUCAUGGCACCUUGGGUAUUGUAUGUCAAGGGAAGGAGGGCAAGGAAAGCUAAGAUCACCAGAGAUAAAUUUCACCUACUUCACAACUUUAAAAGAUUAACUCUGCCAGGUGUUGUAGUGGAGAAGGAAGAUUGGAUUGCCAGUGACCUCUAGACUAUCAUGCCCCAGUCUUAGAGGUUCAAAUAUAAGAAAGAGAAGAAUGGGUUAAAGAAGACAAUCUAGAAAUGAACUGUAUUGAAUCAUCAAGUCUCUGUUGAUUGCUGUUUACUUUAUCUCCCGGUAUUUUUGAGAGAUAUAGUUGUGACAUGCCAGACUUCACAGUUCACUACUGGGACAGAUUCAAUCAUUCAUAAUCCAGUUGACACCAUUGCCACAUUAUGAAAGGAUUCUUAUUUAUAGACCCCCAUAGCUACAAAUUAAGCUCUCUUCUGCAUUUUCAGCUAGGCAUACAGCCACCCAGCUAAAAACUUCAUUCCCCAGCCUCCCUUGCAGUUGGCAUGGCCAUAUAAAAAAGUUCUUGCCAAUGGAAUAUAAGUAGAAAUGACGGUGCAACUUCUGCACCAUUUGCUUAAAAAGAAAUUGUUUGAUUUCCAUGACCUUUCUUUCCCUUCCUGAUCCUGGAGUACAGAUGUGGCGCUGAGUUAGCUUCCACCAUGUGCAACACUAAAAGGGAGAGCAGAAUAGCAAGAUUGAAGGCACCAGAUCCUGGGAUGAUGUUUAUGGAGCAGCGCCAUCCCCAUGUACUUCCAGACUGUUACAUGAGAGAGAUGAACUUCUAUUUUGCCUGUGUGCCUUAUUUGGGGACCUGUUGUUUAUGGCAGUUUCUAGCCUAUACCUAGCAUAUCCGUGUUAGUCCCUCCAGAGAGGGAAACUAGAUUGCUGGAAAUCCCAGUUUGAAGAAAACUUGAUACAUUCUUUUAUACUUUUCAGCUUUUGUGCCAUGUAUAUGUAUUCCCUAGUUAUUAAAAAUUCAUCAGUCGGGCUUCCCUGGUGGUGCAGCGGUUGAGAGUCCGCCUGCCGAUGCAGGAGA